rnacentral:sRNA from 1 species
ACUGUAGCAAAAUCUACAGUCAGCCGUGAGAAGCUGAAUAUUCAAAAGGCGAACAGCACGCCAACCCGUGCUUUUU